UGGGGUGUCGCCAAGCGGUAAGGCUGCGGACUUUGACUCCGCCAUACGCAGGUUCAAAUCCUGCCAUCCCGG
rnacentral:tRNA from 1 species